CGCGUGAAGGAAGAAGCUUCGGGUGUAAACUCUGUCCCAUGUGAAGAGAAGAAGACGGUAGCAUGGGAGGAAGCCCGGCUAACUACGUGCCAGCAGCCGCGGUAAUACGUAGGGGGCGAGCGUUGUCCGGAAUGACUGGGCGUAAAGGGCGUGUAGGUGGCUUUAUAAGUAUCAGGUGGAAGUCCCGAAUUCAAAGCGGGAAUUGCGUGGUAGACUGUAGGGCUUGAGUGUGGGAGAGGAUAGCGGAAUUCCCGGUGUAGCGGUGAAAUGCGUAGAGAUCGGGAGGAACACCAGUGGCGAAGGCGGCUAUCUGGACCAAGACUGACACUGAGGCGCGAAAGCGUGGGUAGCAAACAGGAUUAGAUACCCUGGUAGUCCACGCUGUAAACGAUGGAUGCUAGGUGUAGGAGGUAUCGACCCCUUCUGUGCCGCAGUUAACGUAAUAAGCAUCCCGCCUGGGGAGUACGGCCGCAAGGUUGAAACUCAAAGGAAUUGACGGGACCCCGCACAAGCAGCGGAGCAUGUGGUUUAAUUCGACGCAACGCGAAGAACCUUACCAGGUCUUGACAUCGAAGGAAUGCGCAGAGAUGCGCAGUGCCCGCAAGGGAGCCUGAAGACAGGUGGUGCAUGGUUGUCGUCAGCUCGUGUCGUGAGAUGUUGGGUUAAGUCCCGCAACGAGCGCAACCCUUGCCGUCAGUUACUAACGGGUAAAGCCGAGGACUCUGACGGGACUGCCGUGGACAACACGGAGGAAGGUGGGGAUGACGUCAAAUCAUCAUGCCCCUUAUGACCUGGGCUACACACGUGCUACAAUGGCCGGAACAAAGAGGUACGAAUACGCAAGUAAGAGUGGAUCUCAAAAACCGGUCUCAGUUCAGAUUGUGGGCUGCAACCCGCCCACAUGAAGUCGGAGUUGCUAGUAAUCGCGAAUCAGCAUGUCGCGGUGAAUACGUUCCCGGGGUUUGUACACACCGCCCGUCACACCAUGGGAGUUGGGAGCGCCCGAAGCGGGUGAGAUAACCGCAAGGGGUCAGCCUCGAAGCGAGUCAAUNC
rnacentral:rRNA from 1 species